ACCAGAAAAAAACUGUAGGGCUGAAAAUUACACUGCUGUUAACCAACCUGCCUAUGCAUUCACCAAUAUUCUAUUUUCAUCAGGACCACAGGGGAGCCCAAAGCAAUUCCAUGGACACAUAUAACACCCCUAAAGGCAGCUGCCGAUGGAUGGUGUCACAUGGAUAUUCGUAAAGGAGAUGUUGUUGAUUGGCCAACCAAUCUUGGUGGGAUUAUGGGCCCUUGGCUUGUUUACGCCUCCUUGCUGAAUGGAGCUUCCAUGGCUCUGUAUAAUGGCUCCCCAAAUAGUUCAGGCUUUGUGAAGUUUGUACAGGAUGCUAAGGUAACAAUGCUUGGACUGGUACCCAGCAUCGUUCGUACUUGGAAGAAUAUGGACUGUACAACUGGACUAGACUGGUCCUCCAUCCGGUAAUUUUUUAAUUGCUCAACUAUCCAGACCUUUUGUCUUAACUUUGCAAGUUACACAUAUAGUAUGGUAUGCAGUUUCUAUUGACCAUAUUCAUUAUAUACAGAUGCUUUAGCUCCUCUAGGGAGGCAUCCAGUGUGGAUGAUUAUUUAUGGCUGAUGGGAAGAGCGGGUUACAAGCCAGUAAUCGAGUACUGUGGAGGCACAGAGAUUGGUGGUGGAUUUUUUACUGGAUCGAUGCUACAACCUCAAGUGUUGUCUGCAUUCAGCACACCUGCCAUGGGUUGUAACCUGUUCAUUCUUGAUAGCAGUGGGAAUCCUUUGG